UACGUAGGGGCAAGCGUUGUCCGGAUUUAUUGGGCGUAAAGAGCGUGUAGGCGGCUUUACAGGUCCGUUGUGAAAACUCGAGGCUCAACCCCGGACUUGCGGUGGGUACGGGCAGACUAGAGUGUGGUAGGGGAGACUGGAAUUCCUGGUGUAGCGGUGAAAUGCGCAGAUAUCAGGAGGAACACCGAUGGCGAAGGCAGGUCUCUGGGACCACUACUGACGCUGAGAAGCGAAAGCGUGGGGAGCGAACAGG
rnacentral:rRNA from 1 species